AUUGAACGCUGGCGGCAUGCCUUACACAUGCAAGUCGAACGGCAGCACGGGGGCAACCCUGGUGGCGAGUGGCGAACGGGUGAGUAAUGCAUCGGAACGUGUCCUCUUGUGGGGGAUAACCAGUCGAAAGAUUGGCUAAUACCGCAUGAGAUCGAAUGAUGAAAGCGGGGACCGCAAGGCCUCGCGCGAGAGGAGCGGCCGAUGCCGGAUUAGCUAGUUGGUGGGGUAAUGGCCCACCAAGGCGACGAUCCGUAGCUGGUCUGAGAGGACGACCAGCCACACUGGGACUGAGACACGGCCCCAGACUCCUACGGGAGGCAGCAGUGGGGAAUUUUGGACAAUGGGCGCAAGCCUGAUCCAGCCAUGCCGCGUGUGUGAAGAAGGCCUCGGGUUGUAAAGCACUUUCGGACGGAACGAAAUCGCGCGCAUGAACAAUGCGCGUGGAUGACGGUACCGUAAGAAGAAGCACCGGCUAACUACGUGCCAGCAGCCGCGGUAAUACGUAGGGUGCAAGCGUUAAUCGGAAUUACUGGGCGUAAAGGGUGCGCAGGCGGCCUCGCAUGUCAGGCGUGAAAUCCCGGGCUCAACCUGGGAAUGGCGCUUGAAACUACGGGGCUGGAGUGUGGCAGAGGGAGGUGGAAUUCCACGUGUAGCGGUGAAAUGCGUAGAGAUGUGGAGGAACACCGAUGGCGAAGGCAGCCUCCUGGGCCAACACUGACGCUCAUGCACGAAAGCGUGGGGGAGCAAAA
rnacentral:rRNA from 1 species